CAGUGUGAGCAGCGUCUGUACUGCUGGAGGUGUCUGUUCACUGCACUCCUCUAAGAAAAGCCUACUUUACAAAGACAGGAGAUUCAACCUGACAGAGAGGCGACUCUGAAAGCAAAGGAGCGAGCAGGCGUCAUGGAGAGAGGCGAGAGUGAGGAGGAGGAUGAACUGCACCACGACGACACGAGGCAAACUCAGCCCAGGAGCCAUGAGCAGAGGGAGAGCAGGAGCUCCGGGAACAGCUGCUCCAAGAGCUGCUCCAAGAGCUGCUCCAAGAGCUGCUCCAAGUGCUGCUCCAAGUGCUGCUCCAAGUGCUGUUCGUUGACCAGGGCCUGCCUGAGGAGCGAGGAGUGCUUGUUGCUGCUGUGCACGUGCCUCGGGAUCAUAGGCAUGAUAUGCGAAGGCUAACCGAGGCUUGGACGGCAGCACCGACUCUCCGCUGCUAAUAUCCUCCAACAUCCUGACGGGACUCAUGCUGCGUGGUGUUUCUUCUAAUCUAAAGCGGGAAAAUAAUCAAUUUGAUCUGUUUUAAGUUUCCUUAAUCUUAAAUCCACAAGUUAAUCAACAGAAAUAUGGUAAAUGGCAAAUGGACUGCACUUACACAGCACUUUUCUACCUUAGUAUUGCUCAAAGCACUUUACAAUGUUUUCUCAGUCACACACAUUCAUGCACAAAUAAUAAAAUUUUAGAAUAAUUUCUGCUUGACCAUUUCUGAUUUCCCUCAGAAUCUCAUAGCAUAAACUAGAGAUAUAGAGACCAUCAGCCUAGAUGCUGUGUUUGGCAGGCACUGCACAUCGUCACAAACACACCAUUGUGAAGCAUGGUGGUGGCAGCA